CCAGAAAAGUACUGAUAAACAUUGGUGACAAAUCACUUGUUGGAACGGCAUCUUGAAAUGCCGGAAUAUGUCGAUUAAAUAAAAUAAAUUCCAGUGAUUAUUUGGUAUGCGUGGAGGAUCGAUUAUUGUUUCAAGCUUGGUCGUUUCUGCUAAAGUUUUUGUACAACAAAUUCAAGAAAUUAUGAAAAAAAAAUAAAUAUUAUUUUUAGAGGCUCAUUGAUUUAGAAAAAAUGUAUGUUCUCUAAUAAUAUAACUAUGAUUUACGAUCUUUACAAAAUUGCCGCUGGUAAAUAUGAUAGAAACUUAACAAUAAAUAUGACAUCGAAUUUCCUCAAAGAACCAACGUGGAUAUGGUUCACUCGAAAAAAGAUUAUUGUGUAUCCUAUGGAUUUCUUGGUGAAGAUAUAGCUAUUAUCGUUUACAAAAAAGAGUUUCUUUUAGUUAUUAUGUUGUACUUGUUUGUAUUGAUUGGAAUGGCUAAUACAACGUAGUCAACGAAGAUCAAGGAAAGGUUGUUUCAGAACAAGGUGUGGACGAGGGAGACAGUGGUUCAGGCUUAUGCUUUUUAGACUCUAAUUUGUAUUAUUUAACCGGAAUAGUGAGUGUCAAGGAUCAAGAACUAAAAAAUUCAAUUGCAGUUUUCACAGAAGUUAAGUACCACAUUCAAUGGAUUUUGUGAACAGUAUAACCAUUUUAACUAAGUCAAAUAAAAUUAAGGUAUCUGUAAUUGAAAUAUAUAUUAAUAUAUUUUGAAUAAUAAGUAUUUUUCUUAUGUGUAACAAUUUUUAACAGUUCUUAUAAUUAUUGAUCAUUAAAAUUAAUCAUAAUAGGUACGUAUGUACUCAUUUUGUAUUGUACACACAUAUAUUAUAUAUAAGCUAAAUAACACUCACUCACUCAAUCACUCAGUUACUCAAAACUUAUUAACAAUCACUGCAAUUAAAUCACAAUAAUAUUACAAACCAACCUUUCCUUGAUCUCCGUUGAUUACGUCGUAUUUGCCAUUCCAAUCAAUACAAAUAAGUACAACGUAGGUAAUAACUAAAAUAAACUCUUUCAUGUAAACAAUUAUAGCUAUAUCUUCAGCAUGAAACCCAUAGGAUCCAUAAUAACCUUCUUUCGAGUGAAUCAUAUCCAGCUGCACUUUAAUUGUUUUAAUUUAUGUUAUAUAAUAUGUCAUACAAAUUAUUUGUAAGCUUUGAAUUAUUCAUAACUUACAUUGGUUAUUUGAGGAAAUUCGAAGUUAUUAAUUAUUGAAAAGUUUCGUUCAAACUUUCCAACUGCAAUUUUGUAAAGACGGUAAAUUAUAGAUAUAUCGUUAGAUAACAUACCUUUUUUUUUAAAUACAACAAGCCUCUAAAAAUAAUAUUUAUUUUUUUUUCAUUACUUCUUGAAUUUUUUGUACAAAGACUUUACCAGAAACGACUAAGUUUGAAGCAUUAAUUAAUCCUCCACGCAUAUCAAAUAAUCAUUGGAUUUUGUUUCAUUUAAUCGAAAUAUUCCGGCAUUACAUGGUGCCGUUCCAACAAGUGCUUUUUCACCAUUGUUUAUUAAUACUUUUAGCAAUUAGCUAAUUAGCAUAACUACCAUUUAGGGUACAUAUUAAAUAUAUUCUAUAUUAUCUGAUAGUAGAAGAGGACACAUUUCUAUAAACGUAAACAAACUAUAAUCAUCAUAA